rnacentral:rRNA from 1 species
AUUGAACGCUGGCGGUAUGCUUAAGACAUGCAAGUCGAACGGUAACAGGUUAAGCUGACGAGUGGCGGACGAGUGAGUAACGCGUGGGAAUCUACCUUGUAGUGGGGGAUAAGCCAGGGAAACUUGGACUAAUACCGCAUACGCCCUAAGGGGGAAAGGCGCAAGUCGCUAUAAGAUGAGCCCGCGUCUGAUUAGGUAGUUGGUGGGGUAAAGGCCUACCAAGCCGACGAUCCGUAGCUGGUCUGAGAGGACGAUCAGCCACACUGGGACUGAGACACGGCCCAGACUCCUACGGGAGGCAGCAGUGGGGAAUAUUGGACAAUGGGGGAAACCCUGAUCCAGCAAUGCCGCGUGUGUGAAGAAGGCCUGCGGGUUGUAAAGCACUUUUGGCAGGGAUGAAAAGCACUGGCCUAACAAUCCAGUGUGUUGACCUAACCUGCAGAAGAAGCACCGGCUAACUCUGUG